rnacentral:rRNA from 1 species
UACGAAGGGGGCUAGCGUUGUUCGGAAUCACUGGGCGUAAAGCGCACGUAGGCGGACCGUUAAGUCGGAGGUGAAAGCCUGGGGCUCAACCCCAGAACUGCCUUCGAUACUGGCGGUCUUGAGUAUGGUAGAGGUUGGUGGAACUCCGAGUGUAGAGGUGAAAUUCGUAGAUAUUCGGAAGAACACCAGUGGCGAAGGCGGCCAACUGGACCAUUACUGACGCUGAGGUGCGAAAGCGUGGGGAGCAAACAGGG